AGAGUUUGAUCAUGGCUCAGAGCGAACGCUGGCGGCAGGCCUAACACAUGCAAGUCGAACGAACUCUUCGGAGUUAGUGGCGGACGGGUGAGUAACACGUGGGAACGUGCCUUUUGGUUCGGAAUAACUCAGGGAAACUUGUGCUAAUACCGAAUGUGCCCUUCGGGGGAAAGAUUUAUCGCCAUUAGAGCGGCCCGCGUCUGAUUAGCUAGUUGGUGAGGUAAAGGCUCACCAAGGCGACGAUCAGUAGCUGGUCUGAGAGGAUGAUCAGCCACAUUGGGACUGAGACACGGCCCAAACUCCUACGGGAGGCAGCAGUGGGGAAUCUUGCGCAAUGGGCGAAAGCCUGACGCAGCCAUGCCGCGUGAAUGAUGAAGGUCUUAGGAUUGUAAAAUUCUUUCACCGGGGACGAUAGUGACGGUACCCGGAGAAGAAGCCCCGGCUAACUUCGUGCCAGCAGCCGCGGUAAUACGAAGGGGGCUAGCGUUGCUCGGAAUUACUGGGCGUAAAGGGAGCGUAGGCGGACAUUUAAGUCAGGGGUGAAAUCCCGGGGCUCAACCUCGGAAUUGCCUUUGAUACUGGGUGUCUUGAGUAUGAGAGAGGUAUGUGGAACUCCGAGUGUAGAGGUGAAAUUCGUAGAUAUUCGGAAGAACACCAGUGGCGAAGGCGACAUACUGGCUCAUUACUGACGCUGAGGCUCGAAAGCGUGGGGAGCAAACAGGAUUAGAUACCCUGGUAGUCCACGCCGUAAACGAUGAUUGCUAGUUGUCGGGAUGCAUGCAUUUCGGUGACGCAGC
rnacentral:rRNA from 1 species